rnacentral:rRNA from 1 species
UACGAAGGGGGCUAGCGUUGCUCGGAAUCACUGGGCGUAAAGGGUGCGUAGGCGGGUCUUUUAAGUCAGGGGUGAAAUCCUGGAGCUCAACUCCAGAACUGCCUUUGAUACUGAGGAUCUUGAGUACGGGAGAGGUGAGUGGAACUGCGAGUGUAGAGGUGAAAUUCGUAGAUAUUCGCAAGAACACCAGUGGCGAAGCGGCUCACUGGCCCGUUACUGACGCUGAGGCACGAAAGCGUGGGGAGCAAACAGG